GCAUCAAUGGGGUAGUGGUAACCUGGGUCGUUGCCAUACUUCGUGCAUAAUAAUCGACCCGCCGGGGGUUCAAUUCCCCCUUGAUGCA